GAUGAACGCUGGCGGCGUGCUUAACACAUGCAAGUCGAACGGUGAACGAGGGAGCUUGCUCCCUCCGGAUCAGUGGCGAACGGGUGAGUAACACGUGAGCAAUCUGCCCUGGACUCUGGGAUAAGCGUUGGAAACGACGUCUAAUACCGGAUACGAGGCGUGGGGGCAUCCCCAACGCCUGGAAAGAACUUCGGUCCAGGAUGAGCUCGCGGCCUAUCAGCUAGUUGGUGAGGUAACGGCUCACCAAGGCGACGACGGGUAGCCGGCCGGGGAGGGUGACCGGCCACACUGGGACUGAGACACGGCCCAGACUCCUACGGGAGGCAGCAGUGGGGAAUAUUGCACAAUGGGCGCAAGCCUGAUGCAGCAACGCCGCGUGAGGGACGACGGCCUUCGGGUUGUAAACCUCUUUUAGCAGGGAAGAAGCGAAAGUGACGGUACCUGCAGAAAAAGCACCGGCUAACUACGUGCCAGCCGCCGCCGUAAAAC
rnacentral:rRNA from 1 species